AACCCCCCUCUGGUGCAGUUGGUAGCACUGUUGCCUUGUAGUGAGAAGGUCCUGGGUUCGACUCCUGGCCUGGGUUA